rnacentral:lncRNA from 1 species
UACACCUCUUCAACUGCGACACAUACCAGUGUCAUGGAUCCGUCCCAAUUCCGUUGACAGCUCCAAACGAUAGGCCACCCUUCCUACCUUCGCACCUUCACGAAAAGACCCAACAUACCGGGGCCCCCCAUUUACCCCUCUUCCUAAAUCGAAGCACCCGACAGAAAUACGAAGUCGCUGACCUGAAUCACAUACUCGUAACGGCGUCUGCCUGCAUAACUUUCCUGUUAACUCUAAACGAUCACUAACUCUCUUUAACCUGCUGAGUCUGCUUUGUCAACUAAAGUACGAACUCUGAACUGCUCAUCACUCUCUGUAAUCGGAAAUUACCCAAGAUGCACUCUGCUCCAAAUCUCAACGAUCACUCAACCCAUAAGGG